rnacentral:rRNA from 1 species
GUGUCAGCAGCCGCGGUAAAACGUAGGUACCGAGCGUUAUCCGGAUUUACUGGGCGUAAAGCGUGUUCAGGCGGUCUAGCAAGUCGGGCAUGAAAUCUCUCGGCUCAACCGGGAGGGGUUGUCCGAUACUGCUGGACUGGAGGGCAGCAGAGGGUGGUGGAAUUCCGGGUGUAGUGGUGAAAUGCGUAGAUAUCCGGAGGAACACCAGUGGCGAAGGCGGCCACCUGGGCUGUACCUGACGCUAACACACGAAAGCUAGGGGAGCGAACGGGAUUAGAAACCCGUGUAGUCC